UCCCAAGGGUUGGGCUGUUCGCCCAUUAAAGCGGUACGCGAGCUGGGUUCAGAACGUCGUGAGACAGUUCGGUCCCUAUCCGUCGUGGGCGUAGGAAAUUUGAGAGGAGCUGUCCUUAGUACGAGAGGACCGGGAUGGACGCACCGCUGGUGUACCAGUUGUUCUGCCAAGGGCAUAGCUGGGUAGCUAUGUGCGGAAGGGAUAAGUGCUGAAAGCAUCUAAGCAUGAAGCCCCCCUCAAGAUGAGAUUUCCCAUAGCGUAAGCUAGUAAGAUCCCUGAAAGAUGAUCAGGUUGAUAGGUUCGAGGUGGAAGCAUGGUGACAUGUGGAGCUGACGAAUACUAAUAGAUCGAGGACUUAACCAUAUAA
rnacentral:rRNA from 1 species